rnacentral:rRNA from 1 species
GACGAACGCUGGCGGCGUGCUUAACACAUGCAAGUCGAACGGAAAGGCCCUGCUCUUGUGGGGUGCUCGAGUGGCGAACGGGUGAGUAACACGUGAGUAACCUGCCCUUGACUUUGGGAUAACUUCAGGAAACUGGGGCUAAUACCGGAUAGGAGCUCCUGCUGCAUGGUGGGGGUUGGAAAGUUUCGGCGGUUGGGGAUGGACUCGCGGCUUAUCAGCUUGUUGGUGGGGUAGUGGCUUACCAAGGCUUUGACGGGUAGCCGGCCUGAGAGGGUGACCGGCGACAUUGGGACUGAGAUACGGCCCAGACUCCUACGGGAGGCAGCAGUGGGGAAUAUUGCACAAUGGGCGGAAGCCUGAGGCAGCAACGCCGCGUGCGGGAUGACGGCCUUCGGGUUGAAAACCGCUUUCGCCUGUGACGAAGCGUGAGUGACGGUAAUGGGUAAAGAAGCACCGGCUAACUACGUG